rnacentral:rRNA from 1 species
CCUACGGGUGGCAGCAGUGGGGAAUAUUGGGCAAUGGGCGCAAGCCUGACCCAGCAACGCCGCGUGAAGGAAGAAGGCUUUCGGGUUGUAAACUUCUUUUGUCAGGGAAGAGUAGAAGACGGUACCUGACGAAUAAGCCACGGCUAACUACGUGCCAGCAGCCGCGGUAAUACGUAGGUGGCAAGCGUUGUCCGGAUUUACUGGGUGUAAAGGGCGUGUAGCCGGGUUGACAAGUAAGAUGUGAAAUCCGGGGGCUCAACCACCGAAUUGCAUUUGAAACUGUUUUUCUUGAGUAUUGGAGAGGCAGGGGGAAUUCGUGGUGUAGGGGUAAAAGGCGUAGAGAUAAGGAGGAACACCAGUGGCGAAGGGGAUCUGAUAGACAACAACUGACGGGGAGGCGCGAAAGCGUGGGGAGCAAACAGGAUUAGAUACCCGUGUAGGC